GACGAACGCUGGCGGCGUGCUUAACACAUGCAAGUCGAACGGAAGGGCCCUGCUUUUGUGGGGUGCUCGAGUGGCGAACGGGUGAGUAACACGUGAGUAACCUGCCCUUGACUUUGGGAUAACUUCAGGAAACUGGGGCUAAUACCGGAUAGGAGCUCCUGCUGCAUGGUGGGGGUUGGAAAGUUUCGGCGGUUGGGGAUGGACUCGCGGCUUAUCAGCUUGUUGGUGGGGUAGUGGCUUACCAAGGCUUUGACGGGUAGCCGGCCUGAGAGGGUGACCGGCCACAUUGGGACUGAGAGACGGCCCAGACUCCUACGGGAGGCAGCAGUGGGGAAUAUUGCACAAUGGGCGGAAGCCUGAUGCAGCAACGCCGCGUGCGGGAUGACGGCCUUCGGGUUGUAAACCGCUUUCGCCUGUGACGAAGCGUGAGUGACGGUAAUGGGUAAAGAAGCACCGGCUAACUACGUG
rnacentral:rRNA from 1 species